rnacentral:tRNA from 1 species
GCUGUCGUCGUAUAGUGGCUAUUAUCCCUGGCUUCCACCCAGUAGACGUGGGUUCGACUCCCAUCGGCAGCUCCA